AUGCCGCGGUGAAUACGUUCCCGGGCCUUGUACACACCGCCCGUCACACCACGAGAGUUGGUAACACCCGAAGCCGGCGAGGUAACCUUUUGGAGCCAGCCGCCGAAGGUGGGACCAAUGAUUGGGGUGAAGUCGUAACAAGGUAGCCGUAUCGGAAGGUGCGGCUGGAUCACCUCCUUUCU
rnacentral:rRNA from 1 species